UACGGAGGGGACUAGCGUUGUUCGGAAUUACUGGGCGUAAAGCGCGCGUAGGCGGCCGAACAAGUCGGGGGUGAAAGCCCAGGGCUCAACCCUGGAAUUGCCUUCGAUACUGUUUGGCUCGAGACCGGAAGAGGUUAGUGGAACUGCGAGUGUAGAGGUGAAAUUCGUAGAUAUUAGGAAGAACACCGGUGGCGAAGGCGGCCCACUGGAUCGGUACUGACGCUGAGGUGCGAAAGCGUGGGGAGCAAACAGG
rnacentral:rRNA from 1 species